rnacentral:lncRNA from 10 species
CAGGGCAAGGAAUGCCUGCAGCCCAGGAUUCCUCCUAAGCUGUGUCCCAUCUGUGCCGGACCCCACUGGAAAUCAGACUGUUCAACUCACCUGGCAGCCACUCCCAGAGCUCCUGGAACUCUGGCCCAAGGCUCUCUGACUGCUUCCCAGAUCUUCUUGGCUUAGCAGCUGAAGACUGACACUGCCCGAUCGCCUCGGAAGCCCCCUAGACCAUCACGGACGCUGAGCUUCAGGUACACAUCCAGAUGGCCGGUUCCUGCCUUAACUGCUGACAUUCCACCACAAAAGAAGUGAAAAUGGCCUGUUCCUGCCUUAACUGAUGACAGAUUGUCUUGUGAAAUUCCUUCUCCUGGCUCAUCCUGGCUCAAAAGCUCCCCCACUGAGUACCUUGUGACCCCCACUCUGCCCACCAGAGAACAAUCCCCUUUCGACUGUAAUUUUCCUUUACCUACUGAAAUCCUAUAAAAUAGCCCCACCCCUAUCUCCCUUCGCUGACUCUCUUUUCGGGCUCAGCCCGCCUGCACCCAGGUGAAAUAAACAGCUUUAUUGCUCA